AACGAUUAAAGCUCCCUUCGGGGAGUGCAUAGAGUGGCGCACGGGUGAGUAACACGUAAGUAAUCUACCCUCGGGUGGGGAAUAACAACCGGAAACGGUUGCUAAUACCGCAUAAUGCAGCGGCACCGCAAGGUGACAGUUGUUAAAGGAGCAAUCCGCCUGGGGAGGAGCUUGCGGCAGAUUAGCUUGUUGGUAAGGUAACGGCUUACCAAGGCUACGAUCUGUAUCCGGUCUAAGAGGACGGUCGGACACACUGACACUGAAUAACGGGUCAGACUCCUACGGGAGGCAGCAGUCGGGAAUUUUGGGCAAUGGGGGAAACCCUGACCCAGCAACGCCGCGUGAAGGAUGAAGUAUUUCGGUAUGUAAACUUCGAAAGAAUAGGAAGAAUUAAUGACGGUACUAUUUAUAAGGUCCGGCUAACUACGUGCCAGCAGCCGCGGUAAUACGUAGGGACCAAGCGUUGUUCGGAUUUACUGGGCGUAAAGGGCGCGUAGGCGGCGUGGUAAGUCACUUGUGAAAUCUCUGAGCUUAACUCAGAACUGCCAAGUGAUACUGCUGUGCUUGAGUGUGGAAGGGGCAAUCGGAAUUCUUGGUGUAGCGGUGAAAUGCGUAGAUAUCAAGAGGAACACCUGAGGUGAAGACGGGUUGCUGGGCCAACACUGACGCUGAGGCGCGAAAGCCAGGGGAGCAAACGGGAUUAGAUACCCCGGUAGUCC
rnacentral:rRNA from 1 species